GGUGGCGUGUCCGAGCGGCCGAAGGAGCUCGCCUCGAAAGCGAGUAAGCGUGCAAGCGCUUCGUGGGUUCAAAUCCCACCGCCACCGCCA
rnacentral:tRNA from 1 species